CGCACCUGAUCUCUGCUUGUUUGUGAUUCAGCUUCUAUCUCUGAUCGAAGAGCCUCAUAUGCAACCUCAUCGAGGAAGUCAUCAGCUUCAUAGACAGCAUCUUUAAGCUCAUCAAGCCACUGUUUCACAGCGGGUUUGGUGAUCUCCUUCUCCUCAGCAUCAUCAAGCAGUCCAUUGACAGAUAUCAAAGUUGUCUUCAACUUCUUAAGCAGUCCAUCAUUGAGUCUUCGGGUGUUGAACAACCCAACAACCUGAGGAGAAGCUAUCCUAUCAAAUAGGACUUGAAGGAAAGCAGACAGAAAAGCACCUCCCACAGCUGCAGCAUCCAUGGUUCGAAAUGGGUUGAACUGUAAA
rnacentral:misc_RNA from 1 species